CUUAAAGUUGCCGAGGUUGGAAAACAUUGGCUUAAUGGAAUCUGUGUAAUAAAUGUGAUUUUGAUGGGAAGUUUCUGUUGAGCCUUGAAUUACAAGGUUUGGUGAACUGUUUCCAUUUGUCACAAUAAAACUGUUCUGCAUUCUAGCUUGACUUAGAUUAUUCCCAUAUUGUGCUGAUCCAUGGAAGUGGAAGAAGUUAAGGAUUUGGCUGUUUGAGCUAACUUGCUUUCCUAUCUUGUCUUUCUCUUGCUCCCCACCUCCCACCUUCCCUGCUCCACCUUCCUGCCCUUUUUUUUUAAGGCCGUUAUCCGAGUUUUUCUUAAUCCGAGACACCAGCCUCAUCCCCAAUAUCUUAUGGUUCGAAUACACAGUGAGCAGAGCAGAAGCCAGGAACCGACAGCGUAAGCUGGGUACAAAGCUACAGUGAGUGUUGAAGUCUCCGGAAUUGGACCACGCAGUUCUGUAUCCCGGAAGGCCGGAAUGGAGAGACCUGCGCAGAGCAUUGGGGACGUAGCAAGGCGACUUUUAAGGGACGGAUCAAAGUAUCAGGCAGGGACCACCACCUGAAGACCCCAGAGGCCUUUUCCAACGCGCUGGAUCAAUCCUGCUGCAUGCUGAGUCCGUCCGCGAGCAGAACCCAUUUAUAUAUCGCAGGUGCACAGCGUUAGGCUGGAUGUUACCCUCCCUUGGGCAUGAUGUGCUGGCGAGCAUUUUUUGCACAAGCACCGCUAAAUUGGAUGGGGUCAGAGGGGCAAAGCGGGACGUUCGGGUGGUCCAUCCACUUCAGCCGGGCUUGCAUAAGACAUCCGUCGGUAGGUUGUACCUGUGAAUAUUUAAGUUGGGGCAGAGAAGGGACCAUAUGCCUUGGAGAUAAACCCGAUACAGCUCUGUGACUUUUCUAUUGAAUCUUUUUUAAAAAAAAAAAAAAAAAUUUGCAGCAUGCAAUCCACGCACUAUUUAUGUCAUGGGUUGUCCAGUUUGCAGAAGGGGAGUGGAGGGGGCCGGUUUGAUCGUGCUUUUCGGGGAGAGCAGCCAGCUCACUGCCACUUAAAAAAGUUGGGGGCAAAACGAAAUCAAGCAAGGUUAGAGAAGGGGAACCUUUAGUCCCAACGGCACUUUGUGUCAGUGUCAGCGGUCUACGGCGAUGGUUGCUUUGAACACUAGUGCUCUUUCUACACAACUCACCAGAGCAACCCGACAACCUUAAGGAUCUGCAUGUGCUGAUCAGUACAAUGAUAAAAAAAAAAAAUCCACAAUGCUUUUUUUUUUUU